rnacentral:rRNA from 1 species
GCUCCAAUAGUGUAUCUUAAUGUUGUUGCUGUUAAAAAGCUCGUAGUUGAACUUCUGGCCUCUGGCCUCACUUCGGUGUGCGCCGGUGGGUCAUCCGCCUGAAGCUCGUAUGCCUCAUACGCUGCGUGUCGAAGGGGUAUUACUUUGAAGAAAUUAGAGUGUUCCAGGCAGGCGAUGCUUGAAUAUUACAGCAUGGAAUA